CGAAGGUGCAAGCGUUACUCGGAAUUACUGGGCGUAAAGCGUGCGUAGGUGGUGAGUUAAGUCUGUCGUGAAAGCCCCGGGCUCAACCUGGGAAUGGCGAUGGAUACUGGCUCGCUAGAGUGCGGUAGAGGAGAGUGGAAUUCCCGGUGUAGCAGUGAAAUGCGUAGAGAUCGGGAGGAACAUCAGUUGCGAAGGCGGCUCUCUGGACCAGCACUGACACUGAGGCACGAAAGCGUGGGGAGCAAACAGGAUUAGAUACCCUGGUAGUCCACGCCCUAAACGAUGCGAACUGGACGUUGGGAGCAACUAGGCUCUCAGUGUCGAAGCUAACGCGUUAAGUUCGCCGCCUGGGGAGUACGGUCGCAAGACUG
rnacentral:rRNA from 1 species